GUACACUCCUGCGGGAGGCAGCAGUGGGGAAUUUUACGCAAUGGGGGAAACCCUGACGUAGCGACACCGCGUGAGCGAAGAAGCCCUUUGGGGUGUAAAGCUCUGUCAGCUGGAACGAAAACAAUGACGGUACCAGCAGAGGAAGCAUCGGCUAACUACGUGCCAGCAGCCGCGGUAAGACGUAGGAUGCGAGCGUUGUCCGGAUUUAUUGGGCGUAAAGAGUUCGUAGGUGGUUUGUUAAGUUUGGUGUUAAAGAUCGGGGCUCAACCCUGGGACUGCACUGAAUACUGGCAGACUCGAGUGUGGUAGAGGCUAGUGGAAUUCCCAGUGUAGCGGUGAAAUGCGUAGAUAUUGGGAAGAACACCGGUGGCGUAGGCGACUAGCUGGGCCAUAACUGACGCUGAGGAACGAAAGCCAGGGGAGCGAAUGGGAUUAGAAACCCCGGUAGUCCCAUG
rnacentral:rRNA from 1 species